GAAGAAAGCUGGCGGCGUGCCUAAUACAUGCAAGUAGAACGCAGUUGCGAACGGGUGAGUAACGCGUAGGUAACUGCCUGGUAGCGGGGGAUAACUAUUGGAAACGAUAGCUAAUAACGCAUACUACCAGAUGGACCUGAGUUGUAUUAGCUAGGUGGUGAGGUAACGGCUCACCAAGGCAACGAUACAUAGCCGACCCGGGAUGGGGAUCGGCCACACUGGGACUGGGACACGGCCCAGCAUCCUACGGGAGGCAACAGUAGGGAAUCUUCGGCAAUGGGGGGAACCCUUACCGAGCAACGCCGCGUGAGUGAAGAAGGUUUUCGGAGCGUAAAGCUCUGUUGUUAAGGAAGCGGUACUUAACCAGAAAGGGACGGCUAACUACGUGCCAGCAGCCGCGGUAAUAC
rnacentral:rRNA from 1 species